rnacentral:rRNA from 1 species
UGAGCAACCUGCCCUUGACUCUGGAAUAACAGUUGGAAACAGCUGCUAAUACCGGAUAUGACCUCUGACGACAUCGUCUGGAGGUGGAAAGCUCCGGCGGUCAAGGAUGGGCUCGCGGCCUAUCAGCUUGUUGGUGAGGUAACGGCUCACCAAGGCUUCGACGGGUAGCCGGCCUGAGAGGGCGACGGCCACACUGGGACUGAGACACGGCCCAGACUCCCGUAGGGA